rnacentral:rRNA from 1 species
UACGUAGGGUGCAAGCGUUGUCCGGAAUCAUUGGGCGUAAAGCGCGCGUAGGUGGCUUCGUAAGUCCGUUGUGAAAGUCAAAGGCUCAACCUUUGAAUGCCGAUGGAUACUGCGAAGCUAGAGUACGGAAGAGGCGAGUGGAAUUCCUGGUGUAGCGGUGGAAUGCGCAGAUAUCAGGAGGAACACCAAUAGCGAAGGCAGCUCGCUGGGACGUUACUGACACUGAGGCGCGAAAGCGUGGGGAGCAAACAGG